UACGAAGGGGGCUAGCGUUGCUCGGAAUCACUGGGCGUAAAGCGCACGUAGGCGGACUCUUAAGUCGGUGGUGAAUCCUGGAGCUCAACUCCAGAACUGCCUUCGAUACUGAGAGUCUUGAGUCCGGGAGAGGUGAGUGGAACUGCGAGUGUAGAGGUGAAAUUCGUAGAUAUUCGCAAGAACACCAGUGGCGAAGGCGGGUCUCUGGGCCGAAACUGGACGCUGAGG
rnacentral:rRNA from 1 species